UUUAUUGAGAGUUUGAUCCUGGCUCAGGACGAACGCUGGCGGCGUGCUUAACACAUGCAAGUCGAACGAGAAUCUGUGGAUCGAGGAUUCGU
rnacentral:rRNA from 1 species